rnacentral:rRNA from 1 species
UACAGAGGGUGCAAGCGUUAAUCGGAAUUACUGGGCGUAAAGCGCGCGUAGGUGGUUUGUUAAGUUGAAUGUGAAAUCCCCGGGCUCAACCUGGGAACUGCAUGCAAAACUGGCAAGCUAGAGUAUGGUAGAGGGUGGUGGAAUUUCCUGUGUAGCGGCGGAAAUGCGUAGAUAUAGGAAGGAACACCAGUGGCGAAGGCGACCGACCUGGACUGAUACUGACACUGAGGUGCGAAAGCGUGGGGAGCAAACAGG